rnacentral:tRNA from 1 species
GCCUGAGUGGCUCAGUGGGUUGAGCGUCUGACUUCCACUUAGGUCACGAUCUCACGGUUCAUGAGUUUGAGCCCCGUGUCAGGCU